rnacentral:rRNA from 1 species
CCCGUUAAUGGGUGAUGGCGUGCCUUUUGUAGAAUGAACCGGCGAGUUACGAUUUGAUGCAAGGUUAAGCAGGAAAUGUGGAGCCGUAGCGAAAGCGAGUCUGAAUAGGGCGUUGAGUAUUUGGUCGUAGACCCGAAACCAGGUGAUCUACCCUUGGUCAGGUUGAAGUUCAGGUAACACUGAAUGGAGGACCGAACCGACUUACGUUGAAAAGUGAGCGGAUGAACUGAGGGUAGCGGAGAAAUUCCAAUCGAACUUGGAGAUAGCUGGUUCUCUCCGAAAUAGCUUUAGGGCUAGCCUCAAGUGAUGAUUAUUGGAGGUAGAGCACUGUUUGGACGAGGGGCCCCUCUCGGGUUACCGAAUUCAGACAAACUCCGAAUGCCAAUUAAUUUAACUUGGGAGUCAGAACAUGGGUGAUAAGGUCCGUGUUCGAAAGGGAAACAGCCCAGACCACCAGCUAAGGUCCCAAAAUAUAUGUUAAGUGGAAAAGGAUGUGGCGUUGCCCAGACAACUAGGAUGUUGGCUUAGAAGCAGCCAUCAUUUAAAGAGUGCGUAAUAGCUCACUAGUCGAGUGACACUGCGCCGAAAAUGUACCGGGGCUAAACAUAUUACCGAAGCUGUGGAUUGUCCUUUGGACAAUGGUAGGAGAGCGUUCUAAGGGCGUUGAAGCAUGAUCGCAAGGACAUGUGGAGCGCUUAGAAGUGAGAAUGCCGGUGUGAGUAGCGAAAGACGGGUGAGAAUCCCGUCCACCGAUUGACUAAGGUUUCCAGAGGAAGGCUCGUCCGCUCUGGGUUAGUCGGGUCCUAAGCUGAGGCCGACAGGCGUAGGCGAUGGAUAACAGGUUGAUAUUCCUGUACCACCUAGUAUCGUUUUAAUCGAUGGGGGGACGCAGUAGGAUAGGCGAAGCGUACGAUUGGAUUGUACGUCUAAGCAGUGAGACUGAGUGUUAGGUAAAUCCGGCACUCAUAAGGUCAAGCUGUGAUGGGGAGAGGAAAUUGUUUCCUUGAGUCGUUGAUUUCACACUGCCAAGAAAAGCCUCUAGAUAGAUAACAGGUGCCCGUACCGCAAACCGACACAGGUAGUCAAGAUGAGAAUUCUAAGGUGAGCGAGCGAACUCUCGUUAAGGAACUCGGCAAAAUGACCCCGUAACUUCGGGAGAAGGGGUGCUCUUUAGGGUGCAAGCCCAGAAGAGCCGCAGUGAAUAGGCCCAAGCGACUGUUUAUCAAAAACACAGGUCUCUGCUAAACCGUAAGGUGAUGUAUAGGGGCUGACGCCUGCCCGGUGCUGGAAGGUUAAGAGGAGUGGUUAGCUUCUGCGAAGCUACGAAUCGAAGCCCCAGUAAACGGCGGCCGUAACUAUAACGGUCCUAAGGUAGCGAAAUUCGCACGAAAGGCGUAACGAUUUGGGCACUGUCUCAACGAGAGACUCGGUGAAAUCAUAGUACCUGUGAAGAUGCAGGUUACCCGCGACAGGACGGAAAGACCCCGUGGAGCUUUACUGUAGCCUGAUAUUGAAAUUCGGCACAGCUUGUACAGGAUAGGUAGGAGCCAUUGAAACGUGAGCGCUAGCUUACGUGGAGGCGCUGGUGGGAUACUACCCUAGCUGUGUUGGCUUUCUAACCCGCACCACUUAUCGUGGUGGGAGACAGUGUCAGGCGGGCAGUUUGACUGGGGCGGUCGCCUCCUAAAAGGUAACGGAGGCGCUCAAAGGUUCCCUCAGAAUGGUUGGAAAUCAUUCAUAGAGUGUAAAGGCAUAAGGGAGCUUGACUGCGAGACCUACAAGUCGAGCAGGGUCGAAAGACGGACUUAGUGAUCCGGUGGUUCCGCAUGGAAGGGCCAUCGCUCAACGGAUAAAAGCU